AGAGUUUGAUCCUGGCUCAGAGCGAACGCUGGCGGCAGGCUUAACACAUGCAAGUCGAGCGGGCAUAGCAAUAUGUCAGCGGCAGACGGGUGAGUAACGCGUGGGAACGUACCUUUUGGUUCGGAACAACACAGGGAAACUUGUGCUAAUACCGGAUAAGCCCUUACGGGGAAAGAUUUAUCGCCGAAAGAUCGGCCCGCGUCUGAUUAGCUAGUUGGUGAGGUAAUGGCUCACC
rnacentral:rRNA from 1 species